AACGAACGCUGGCGGCAGGCCUAACACAUGCAAGUCGAGCGAGGACUUCGGUUCUAGCGGCGGACGGGUGAGUAACGCGUGGGAAUGUGCCCUUCUCUACGGAAUAGCUCUGGGAAACUGGGAGUAAUACCGUAUACGCCCUAUUGGGGAAAGAUUUAUCGGAGAAGGAUCAGCCCGCGUUGGAUUAGGUAGUUGGUGGGGUAAUGGCCUACCAAGCCGACGAUCCAUAGCUGGUUUGAGAGGAUGAUCAGCCACACUGGGACUGAGACACGGCCCAGACUCCUACGGGAGGCAGCAGUGGGGAAUCUUAGACAAUGGGGGCAACCCUGAUCUAGCCAUGCCGCGUGAGUGAUGAAGGCCUUAGGGUUGUAAAGCUCUAUCAGCUGGGAAGAUAAUGACGGUACCAGCAGAAGAAGCCACGGCUAACUCCGUG
rnacentral:rRNA from 1 species